GCCGGGGUGGCGGAACGGUAGACGCAGCGGUCUUAAACACCGCGUCCUCUGGAGUGAGGGUUCGAGUCCCUUCCUCGGCACCA
rnacentral:tRNA from 1 species